GGCGUCCGGGGCCCGCGCGCGGCACACAAAGCCGGCGGCGGCGGCCAUGCCGGCUGGAGCGCGCCGCCCCCACCCCUGCCCCCGCCCCCCGGCUCCCGCACGCCCGCCGCCGCCGCCGCCUCUUCCGGGUUACCGCGGGCCCGCGCCCCCGCCGGGACCCGGGCCGGGCCGGCGUCUGGGCGGGGCUGCCCGGCCGCCUACCCCGACUCCGCGCGCGGGGGCGCGGGCACCUGCUCUGGCCUGGGAAGCGCGUCCUCCUCCCCGGGACGCCCAGGCGCCCGGAGCAGGGGGGCGCCCCCGCUUAGGUUUUCUUCCAGAUCAGUCUGAUCUUCUUGAUUUCUUCCUGAUUCUGAGUUGCUCAAGAUCACCCCACUUGUGACAGCAUUUUUCACUGACCAUCAGAGGAUAUUUAUGCUUCAAAACUGGAUAUGGUUGUUUCAGUGGAAGGACUGAAUACUCUGUGAAGGCUAGGAUGAUGUCUGUUUUGGUCACUGUUUCCUCCAUGCCUCGUUUAAAGAAGAUGCUCAUCAAAUAUUAAUUAAAUCAUCAAUUAAAGAAUGAGUGAGUGAUUUAGUGAAUGCAUCGAGACCAAGGUUAUUCCUUCUCUUUCAGACAGUAUUGUCAGAGUACAGGCUUUGAGAAAGACACAAAGAAGCCGAAGUCCAUGCCAGCAUCCCCCUAGGAAUAGACUACACAUGUCCUCUGGCUAAGGAGUUGUGGCAUUCUUCCCAUCUUUCUUACUAUCGAUAACAGUGAUUGGGUUUGUUCUGGGCAACAAUGCUCCUAGUUAAGACACAAAGUCACCUGGCCUCCCCUGCUGUGAAGACGGCCACAGGACACAGUUCUGGCCAAUAGUCUCUAAGCGAAGUGUUUUUCGGAGCUUCUAGAAAGAUUUAACAGAGCCAAACUCAUCUGACAUGUUUCUCUUUUCCUGUCCCUUAAUUCCCACUUGGUUUGCAGGCAUUAUUAUUACUAGAGCUAUGAGAGCCACCUUGCCACAAUGAGAGUGAAUUUCGUAGUUGAAGAUGGUGGAGUAGAAAGAGAAAAGUCUAGGCCCUUCACGACACUGCUGAACAACUGCCCAGCUUUGCCUUCACCUGGGCUUUUUACUUUGUUUUUAAGUCUUUAUUGAAUGUGUUACAAUACUGCUUCUCUUUUGUAUUUUGGGUUUUUGGCCACAAGGCAUGUGGGAUCUUGGUUCCCCAACCAGGGGCUAAACCGGCACCUCCUGCAUUGGAAGGCUGAAGUCUUAACCACUGGACCACCAGGGAAGUCCCUGAGCUUCUUGUUAUAUGAGAACAAUAAGUCACUUUAUGUAACUGUAUUAAUAGUUGAGUAUUUUGUUACCUGUAGCCUAAUGCAAUAAUUAGGAAUCUGAUUCAGGAAACAGAAACGAAAGAGCCAAACAUUGUUCUUAACUGCUUUCUCAA